AAAAAGUUUUAUUCUAGCUUAAAAAUUAGGUUAAAUUUUAUUUUACAUGUAAAUUUGAGUAAAUUACUAUAAAAAAUUUAGAUAAUUUUUUAAUUUUUUCGUUCGCAGUGGAGGAAUUUAAAUAUCAAUGGAAAUUGGAUUUAGGAAUAAUUUUUAAUGUUGACCAAAUUUGUGCCAGCAGUUGCGGUUACACAGAUAGCAUGACUUAAUUUUUCAGAUACAGUUAAUUAAAAUAAUUUUAAACUUAGAGGGGAAGUUUAUUGGGUGGAAUCUUAAAUUUUCUGACAAGUUGGGGUUUUAUAAUGAGGCUGAGAAAUUUGGCGUUUAAACUAGGAUUAGAUACCCUAUUAUUCUAAAUGUAAAAUUUUAUUCUGGAACAUUAAUAGUUAUGUGCUUUAAAAUUAAAGAUUUUGGCGGUAUUCUAGUCCACUCAGAGGAACCUGUCCCGUAAUCGAUGAUCCACGAUUUAACGUACUUUAUCUUUUAGUUUGUAUACCGUCGUUGUUUGAAUAUUUUAGAAGAAUUUAAAUAUUCAUGAUUUUUGUAAGAAAGAAAAUCAGAUCAAGGUGUAGCUUAUGAAAAAGUUGGAGAUGGGUUACAAUAAAGAUAUUUUAGGAUUGUUUGAAUUUAAAAUUAACAUGAAUUUGGAUUUGAUUGUAAUUGUAAUAAAAUAAUUACUUUGAUUCUGGCUCUGGAAUAUGCACAUAUCGCCCGUCGCUUUCAUUCCAAAGUGAAAUAAGUCGUAACAAAGUAGGCUUACUGGAAGGUGGGCCUAGAAAGAC
rnacentral:ncRNA from 1 species